AUAAACUGUUUUAUAGACGAUUAAAUUUUCUCUAUAACACACGAACAUAUUUGAUAAUCAAUUAUGUUUACUGUGACAAGAGUCAAUAUUGGGAAUAUAUCCGAACAUAGGAUAUACAUGGAAAUACCUACGGAUAUGUUCGUAUUUAAUGUAUCGAGUAAACUAUUUUUUGUUUUUUCUUACAUAUUUUAUACGAUAUACAUAUAACUAUAGACUAGGAAUGCAUUUAGUUGGGUUUGUUUAAGAACAUUUAUUCUAGAGCCAAAUACACAUAAUAUGGAAAAAUUCAAAUCACAAUCACAUGAAGAAGAAUUAAAUGAAACAUUAAAAAGAAAGCGUUGUGGGGGUAAUAAAUAAAUGGGCAGAGGCAUUGCAUGUGAGACUCUGUAAAGCAUUUUGCGGUGAGUGUUAACCUCAGGACCUGUCGCUGCUUCACUACAUGGGUCUACUCUUUAUGUCACUGCAUUCAUUGCUUAUGUCUCUAAUUACACACAUUUAUAUACUUGCUUACAAAACGUUUUGGGCUCAUACAGCUUUAGAGUCCAAACUAAUUGGGCCUACGUACGUUGGUCCCUAUAGAUUUUUAUGGUUUAGAGUCCAUCACAAAUCUUGUUUUCAUACUUUGUGGUAUGUAAAGUUGAGAUUCAAACAAACCAUUUGUACAACGUAUAAAUUAUGUAUUAAGUUUGAACCUAUUUGAUUAUAUAUUCCGAUAAAUAAUCUGCCAUACAUCAUCAAAACAAAAUGAUUUUUUUUUUAACAUGAACUAAAGAAGAAGAAGAAAGUUGUACAAGUUCUUUAACUCUCUCCCUGCCUUCUGUUGCUUAUGGAAUAAGGUUGGUCGAACACAACAUGUGAUCACCUUCCUAAUAUCCAAAUCUUCUUUUG